UGUUCAGUCAUUUUAUGCGUAUGUGUUUGUGGCUAGAAUAUAAAUAUUUUUUUAAUAAAAAUUAAAUUGUAUUAUGAUAACACACGCGAAUUUUGUUUAUUUGUAGACUCAGGAGACAUGGUACAAUUUAAAUUUUUUUGUUGGUUUUAUUUUAAAAUUAUAAAAAUUUAAAUUGUAAAAAUGUGUAGAUAAUUUUUCAUGCACCACUGCCGAAAAGAGUAGCUAUAUAUAAAUAAACACUUAUUUAACGAAAUAAACGCAAAUCAUGUAAAGCCCCACAAAGCCUGGUUUUUAUUCGCAUUCAUAGUACAUAUGUACAUAUGUAUGUACAUAUGUACAUUUUCAGUUAUCAAAAGCAGCGCUAAGUCAAAUUAACAUUUCAGUCGGACUAUUAUAGUGAAAAAUAUGCAUUCGAUUUGUGCGGCAAUUUCUUUGUUAGCAAUAAUCUCGCAAAGCCACGUCACUUAUGCAAGAACGCGUUAUGAAGAAUUCGACCUAAACGAUUGUCAACAAAACGCAAUUGUAGAUGCGGAGUAUAGUACAUCGACACAACCGCUGACUGCUGAUGUCACCUGUUCAGCGUUUUGUAAAUUUCGCGAGUUUCCAUACGGCGGCUGUGAUUGUGUGACGAAGAAAUGUGUUUGCGCAAAUAUGAAUUUGAAUUUUUGCAAUUUUCAGAGUAAAAGAUUAUUUAUAUAAAAUAAAUAAAUCUCAUAACCAAAUGGUUUAAGAAACAUAACUGCACAUAUUUUUGCCAUAUGAAAUGAAAGAAUAUUUUUGGGCCUUUAAAGUUUGCAAUUAUAUUUUUUGUAAAUUUCAAUAAAUUCAUUUCCUUUAAAUUUACAUAUUGGAAAUUUCAGCUAAUAUGCAUAUCUAUAGACCAAUCUAAUAUAAACAAUACUUUUUCAAAUUAAAUUUGCUUAAUAGGUAAAUAUCUUAUUCACUAACUCCUUUUGUGAAUCCAAUAUUCAAAGAAAAAAAUAAGCAGACAAUAUAAGAAUCAGCACAAAUGUAUUGUAAAUCUAAGACCGAAAUACUAUUAAUAAACUCGUAUGUAUGUGAA